rnacentral:rRNA from 1 species
GGGCGUAAAGAGCUCGUAGGUCGUUUGUCGCGUCGAUUGUGAAAAUCUGAGGCUCAACCUCAGACCUGCAGUCGAUACGGGCAAACUAGAGUGUGGUAGGGGAGACUGGAAUUCCUGGUGUAGCGGUGGAAUGCGCAGAUAUCAGGAGGAACACCAAUGGCGAAGGCAGGUCUCUGGGCCAUAACUGACACUGAGGAGCGAAAGUGCGGGGAGCGAACAGGAUUAGAUACCCUGGUAGUCCGCACCGUAAACGGUGGGCACUAGUUGUGGGAACCUUCCACGGUUUCCGCGACGCAGCAAACGCAUUAAGUGCCCCGCCUGGGGAGUACGAUCGCAAGAUUAAAACUCAAAGGGAUUGACGGGGCCCCGCACAAGCAGCGGAGCAUGCGGCUUAAUUCGACGCAACGCGAAGAACCUUACCAAGGCUUGACAUAUAGCGAAAAGUGGCAGAGAUGUCAUGUCCGCAAGGGCGCUAUACAGGUGGUGCAUGGUUGUCGUCAGCUCGUGUCGUGAGAUGUUGGGUUAAGUCCCGCAACGAGCGCAACCCUCGUUCUGUGUUACCAGCAUUCAGUUGGGGACUCACAGGAGACUGCCGGGGUCAACUCGGAGGAAGGUAAU